rnacentral:rRNA from 1 species
UCGAGGUAGCCUCGUCCGUCUGGUGGUAGACGUGGUGCUUGCAUCAUGAUUUACAUUUGAGUGAGUGGCGAACUGGUGAGUAACACGUGGGAAACCUGCCCAGAAGCGGGGGAUAACACCUGGAAACAGAUGCUAAUACCGCAUAACAACUUGGACCGCAUGGUCCGAGUUUGAAAGAUGGCUUCGGCUAUCACUUUUGGAUGGUCCCGCGGCGUAUUAGCUAGAUGGUGGGGUAACGGCUCACCAUGGCAAUGAUACGUAGCCGACCUGAGAGGGUAAUCGGCCACAUUGGGACUGAGACACGGCCCAAACUCCUACGGGAGGCAGCAGUAGGGAAUCUUCCACAAUGGACGAAAGUCUGAUGGAGCAACGCCGCGUGAGUGAAGAAGGGUUUCGGCUCGUAAAACUCUGUUGUUAAAGAAGAACAUAUCUGAGAGUAACUGUUCAGGUAUUGACGGUAUUUAACCAGAAAGCCACGGCUAACUACGUGCCAGCAGCCGCGGUAAUACGUAGGUGGCAAGCGUUGUCCGGAUUUAUUGGGCGUAAAGCGAGCGCAGGCGGUUUUUUAAGUCUGAUGUGAAAGCCUUCGGCUCAACCGAAGAAGUGCAUCGGAAACUGGGAAACUUGAGUGCAGAAGAGGACAGUGGAACUCCAUGUGUAGCGGUGAAAUGCGUAGAUAUAUGGAAGAACACCAGUGGCGAAGGCGGCUGUCUGGUCUGUAACUGACGCUGAGGCUCGAAAGUAUGGGUAGCAAACAGGAUUAGAUACCCUGGUAGUCCAUACCGUAAACGAUGAAUGCUAAGUGUUGGAGGGUUUCCGCCCUUCAGUGCUGCAGCUAACGCAUUAAGCAUUCCGCCUGGGGAGUACGGCCGCAAGGCUGAAACUCAAAGGAAUUGACGGGGGCCCGCACAAGCGGUGGAGCAUGUGGUUUAAUUCGAAGCUACGCGAAGAACCUUACCAGGUCUUGACAUACUAUGCAAAUCUAAGAGAUUAGACGUUCCCUUCGGGGACAUGGAUACAGGUGGUGCAUGGUUGUCGUCAGCUCGUGUCGUGAGAUGUUGGGUUAAGUCCCGCAACGAGCGCAACCCUUAUUAUCAGUUGCCAGCAUUAAGUUGGGCACUCUGGUGAGACUGCCGGUGACAAACCGGAGGAAGGUGGGGAUGACGUCAAAUCAUCAUGCCCCUUAUGACCUGGGCUACACACGUGCUACAAUGGAUGGUACAACGAGUUGCGAACUCGCGAGAGUAAGCUAAUCUCUUAAAGCCAUUCUCAGUUCGGAUUGUAGGCUGCAACUCGCCUACAUGAAGUCGGAAUCGCUAGUAAUCGCGGAUCAGCAUGCCGCGGUGAAUACGUUCCCGGGCCUUGUACACACCGCCCGUCACACCAUGAGAGUUUGUACCACCCAAAGGCGGCGGGGUCCCAACUAGUAACAACG